ensembl:lncRNA
GUGGGGUCAAAGGUUCCCUGAGGCCCCAGGGCCCCAACCUGUGGGCACCGAGCAGCAGUGGAGGAGACAGGAGGGGUCUGGGGAAUACAGGUGCUGGGCUGUGGCAGCCUGUGACGGAGAGGGGCAAAGAAGGCCGGGUGUGGGGCGGCGGCAGCCCUGAGUGCUCUCCUCCCAGAGCUGAUGUUCUGCCUUCGGGAAGGAAGGGCCAGGACAAGGAGUUGGUUCACAGUGGACCCUUUCUCCCUGGGAUUCCAUCAGUCCCCUGCUCCUGACGUCCCCUCCCCAACCCUGCCAUCUCUUGCCUCCCGCUCACCCCACCCCAUUCCCGCCCAAGUCAUCAGCAUUUUACAGAUGAAGGAACUGGGGAUCCGGAAAGGGUGAGCAUCUCCAGAUCACACCCCCAAACUUGGGUCCUGGUCCCUCUGGCCUCCAGGAGGCUGCUGUGUCCAGGGACCCAGGGUGUGGCUUAGCCGGGUCUGAGCAGCUGAGCAGAGGAGGUUCCCAGUGCUGGGAUCACACAAGUGCACCCUGUGCCCUCUGACCUCUGCCCCUCAGACCCCACCCAGUGCAGGAGACCUGGGGUCUCUAGGGGACAGGAAAUGAAUCUGAAAUGCUGCCUCUCCUGUGGAAGGGCCAGCUCAGAAGCCAGGUCACACACAGUGUCUAACCCCACUUCAGACCUUCGCCAAAGUUGCUCCUCAAACCGCACCUCCUCCAGGUCCUCACUGUCGGAUGUGGACAUUUACUACAUUAACACCAGCUCUGAGUCACUUCCUUUCAGUUGGUGGUUAUUUGGACUCCACCACCCUUCCGACCUGCUCCGGACACCAGCAGCCCUCAAACCAGCUCAGACACCUCCAAGUCCCCUCCAGCUCACCUCCCCGACCAGACCCACUUUUCUUUAUGACUGUCCCCGGUUUAGGCCAGUUUACUAUGACGUGUGCCUCCAGCAUCACCCCUGGGCCACAACCUCAGGCUUUCCACCUCCGCCUUGGCCUGAGCCACGUGGGGUCCCAGCUCAUUGGGAUCCACGCCUCACCUGAGCUCCAGCUCUUGGAGCUGAGAGGGAUGGUCACCAGGAGGGGGUGAGCCUGGAACCCUGGCGUUCUCCUCCCUCCCCGACCCCCAGCAUCCAACUCAGAGAUCCUCUUGGAGGCAGCCACCACCCUCCAUGUCCAUGGACACCCUCCAGUCUUCCAGACAUACCUGUUCCCAACUGUCUCCUGCUCUGCUUUGCUUUUGCUGUCCAUCCACCCCUGCACUUAGAGCAGCCAGAGCAAAUCCUGUCUCUCCCCCAGUCCUGCGGGGCUUCCGUGGCUCUGAGCACGCAGCCCACCAUCCUGGCCCCCUCUCCAGUGUCUCCCCUGCUGCCCUCACCCCACACCACCUCACCCAGACACAGAGGAUGCAUCCCAUGCCUCUGGCCUCUCUCCACCCUCGUCUUUCCCUCACAUCUGCUCAUCAAAGGCCCUAAUCAGACAGGAGCCUGCGGGUGAGAAGCACCUGCUGCCGUGGCUGGAGUUUGGAGCCAUAACAUCAGGGCCAAAGCCAAGUUUUGCCACAAACUUGCUGUGAGGUCUCAGGCCAGAAAUGGUCUACACAGAAAUACCUGUGUGUGGACACUCUGCUUCUGCUUUCCUUUCUAUCAGAAUGGCACCCACAUCAGUGGUUGGCUUUGAGUUUUAGAGGAGGCAACAACUGCGAAAAGUAUUGACGGGGAAGGGCAGGCUGCGCUCAGUGUCAGCUCUCUGGAGUUCACCAACACUUUCUCAGAGCCGUGGAGACCCCUGCCCGCCUCACAGCUCUGUUCUGAGGGCCAAGUUAGACGCUUGCCCUGUGGAGACCCAACCAGCUGGAGAAUGUGACAACUUGUGUGGCAUGCUGCUGUGACCGUGAUCCCAGGCUGUACAUCACAAUCAUUUGGGGACACUUCUUCUGCAUUGCAAUAUAUUGAAAACUCACAUACAUCAUGCAGCUCGUGCCACCUCCAUCCAAGGAGGUGACUCACAUUCUGCCCCAGCUCCUCUUCUAUGUACUCCUGGGGUGGGCGCAUGCAGGGAUGUCACCUCUAAGUGCUACUAUGAAAAUGUUGCCUGGAAGGCAAAAGCUUCUAGGAACCCCUGCAUUUCAAAGCAGAAGCCUUCCAGCUCACAGACGUCGGCCUGCCACUCACAUCUCUGCUUGGCCUGUUUUUGUAGCAUGUCCACCUCCCUCUCCAAUCUGGAGGACCUGCCCUUAGCCUGGAGGAGCUUGGCCAAGGACUCUACGCUCAGGGCCAGGGACUCCUCCGGACUUGCUCAUAGUUCCCCUCCUCAUCUCCAGCCAUGUCCACGGAUGCCCUGUCCCCUGGCAAAUUCUUUAAAUCGUGUCUUUCCUGUGACGCCAAGUUGACAAGCAGAUUUUUCAGCUUUUGGUUUUCUUCUUCACACAGUUUUAGGGAAUCCUUUAGCUCAGAGACAUUCUCAGACAGAUUCUUACUAAUUUCCCUGCUGAUGUUAAGAGCUGUUUUUGUCAAUUUCAGCUUUCCCUCAAAGCCUGUCAAACCUUUAUAAAUCGGAUUUCCAUGGACAGCUCUUCCAACUCUGGUUAUUCUCUGGUUUGAAGGCAUGGCAGCCUUUGCUCCCUCUGAACAAGAGAACUCCCAGAAGAAAAAGGCUCCCCAAGGGAUAUGCCACCAGGACAGCUGAAGUUGGUCCCAGGCCAGAGGUCUUCAGGCCAUGAGCCCACCAGCACCUCAGCACAGUGACCCAUCAGGGGGACCGCACUCUGAAUGGCCCCAAGCACUGGCUAGGCCACAAACCAUGGACGUUUCUGAGCCUGGCUCCAACAGAGGCAGCAACCUCUGCCCUCACAGACAGCCGCUGACCUGGUCCCUCCACUGGAAGAUGGAUUUCCGCCUGGACUGGUGGCUUCAGAUUUCUCAUGUCUGGGUCAAGAUGCCCACAUUUUUGUGUUCAGGUUGUUUUGUCGAGUUUUCUGGGCUUCCUUCUGUUUUACAGAUUGAUUGAAUCGUGGUGGGGUUUGGGGGCAGCUGGGACUGGUUCUUCUCUUUCUGGUGGUUGGGGCACCACCUGGGGGCCAGGGACAUGGCCAGGGCCAAGGUAGCCAGGAGGCAAUGCGAAGUUUCCGAGGCUGCUUUUCUCACUCUCUGCAACUUCUGACCUCAGAUUGUCUGAGUGCAGCAUGGUUGAGGGGGUGGCACAUGACUGGUAUUCGGUAUUUUUUUUCUACCAGGUAGCAGCCUCUUCCAGCCAGCUCACCUGGGCCUGGCAGGGGUGCUGACCAUCCCAGGCAGAGGAGGGCUCAUCGCAGAACGAAAAGGGAAAACUUGGGGCCAGACACCUGGUGUGCAACUGGGUUGGGGGGUCAUUGGUAGCUCUUUGUUGCGCUGGGGGUGGGAGGCUCCUAGUUGGCUAGGUGUCCAGGGUGCUCACUGACCCUGUGCUGAGCUGGCUCAGAGGGCUCCUGAUUGGCCGGGUGUCUGCUGCUGUGUGCUGACGUGGUCGGAGGGCUCUCAGAUAUCCUAUCCUGAAUCUAGUUUCGAUGCCGGAGAUCUGAAGGUCCCUGGGCCACCAGCACCUCAGGUGAGUGGUCUGUUGUACUCUGACUCCAAAUGGGAAUGUAGGUGAGGAGCGCCUCCGGGUUUGGGUCCCUGAGGCGCCAGAUGCAGGUGCGGGCCUCGCGGGACCGCAGAGGGGCAGGAUGGUGUGGCGAACAGGAAGGUGAAGCCCAUAGUGUGGGUGAGAGGCCUGGGGCGGGACGAUGGGUGGAGGGCGCGCUGUCCUUCGGGUUGAAGAAUGUGGUGGAGAUAGCGAAGUGAAGGAGUAGAGGCGGAGGUGCCCUGUCUCUCAGCAAGGCCUCAGAUAGGUGCCACGGCUUUUAUAACCACCCUGACUCGUCACAAUGCCUCCCUGUGACGUCACAGCUGCGCUCCUGGCCAAUCGCCAAGUGAUUCUCAGCUGGUCUUGCUUGUGCGGCCAAUCACCACGGAGCUUGGCGGGCCAAUCGCCAGGCGGCUCUCACUGUGGCCCUCUUGACGUCACGACCCUGACACCAUCUCCCAUCCCCUAGGGGUGGGGGGUGUUCACACCGACCCUUGCCCAUUGCAGCACCCAGUUCUCGCUCCUCCUUCGCACAGCCUUCCUUUCACAGGUGGAGCAAAUGGGGGUGGGGGCAGUGACCGGCCCACUCAGGGCAGCCACCUGGUGCUCCCAGGACCACGGGAUCUGAGAGCUGGCGUAAGGGGGGCUGUUCCUCACGUGAUGUGAGUCCUCCCUGGGGACCCGCCCAUCGCCAAAGCUCCGCCCAGGCGUUUCCAUGGUGACCCUAACCACACCCCGGAUUCUGAGGUUCCCUUUGCUGCCUAAGCUUCUCCCAUCUGAUAUCAGUUCUGAGGAGGGGACCUCUGGGAAACGGAAAUCAGUGCGGGGUGGGUGGGCUGCUGUCCGAGGGCCUCGGUGAGAGCCUCUGGAAGAGGAUCCCAGAGGAGCUGCCAUGGCCUGCCCCUGCUGACAGGGUGAAUAAACGCUGGAGCCUCCUGACUCUGGACUCGGAACUUAUGCAAGGGAUGAGCAGCUGACCAUAAAUUUGGAGAUUUGGUGUUGUAGGAAUCUCCCUCCCAUUUUCUACUGGGAAAGAUUAACAUUAUACAUGACCAUAAUAAUUUGCUGAAAGUUGUCUUUGCUGUUGCUGCCAAAGACAGAUGGAGAGGAUUAUUUGAGAGAAAAGAUCAAGAAAAUAGAUCUUUUUGAAGAAAUAUGAAAGAAGGAAGCCAAUCCUUGGUGACAGCAUACUAGACAGUCAAGCUGACUUUAAGAACAUGCAAGGUCCUACAAUAGCAUUUGGAACAUAUCUUGGGCUCCAUAAACAUCUCUCAAUGGAAUGCUAGAAGUUGAAUGGCAUGAAGAUAUGGGAUAUAAUUACCCAGUUCGGUUACCCCACAUGUGUUGAUCAAGGGGACCGAUUGGAGAACUCAGCCUUUAGUCAAGGACAGGUGGCGCAACCAAGUCAAGAAAACCUGCAUGGUGACAUCCAAAAGCACAGGACAGAGAUUGUUCCUACCAACCCUGAUCCUGGAGGUGGUUCUAAGUCACAGGUUCCUACUACGUGAAUACUGCUCAGAGCCGCUGACCUUUACUAUUUUCUGGCUGUAGUCUCAAAGGCCAAGAUAUGAUCAACAAAGGCUGAAAACUGAACCCAUUUCUGAGUGCAGGCUCUAUGAUAUGAUGGAGAAUGCACUUAGCCUCACCGCUGAAACAAAGCAAACAAUAAAUGUGGUCCGGCCUUCAAAAAGUUUACACUCUACCUGGAAAAAUAAACCAUUGAUGGAAAAUAAGAUUGUGCAGAAUUAAAGGCUACACUCACCAAACCACAAAUGCCAGAGGGCGGCCAGUGUAUAUUCUGUAAUGAGACCUGAAUCCUGCGUGUGUCAGCUGUGCAGAAGUCCAAGAGAGGGCUGGCUUUCCAAGCCAAGCAGCUUGAGAGGUCAAGAAGCUGCCAGGAAUGGGUCUGAAAUAGACAAUGUUGUCUGUUUCUCUUGUUUUGGCACUGGACAUUUGGCGGCCCUCACAAGAUCGUUUAAGAGAAAAUUCGGACACACAAAGAGACACCAAGGAUGCACGAGCAUAGAGGAAAGGCCACGCAAGGGCACAGCAGGAAGGCAGCCAACUGCAAGCCAAGGAGAGAGGCCUCCG